rnacentral:rRNA from 1 species
GCGCGAAACCUUUACAAUGCACGAAAGUGUGAUAGGGGGAUACUCAGUGCUUACGACUACGUCGUAGGCUUUUGUCGAGUGUAAAUAACUCGGCGAAUAAGUGGUGGGCAAGACCGGUGCCAGCCGCCGCGGUAACACCGGCGCCACGAGUGGUCAUCACGAUUAUUGGGCCUAAAGCGUUCGUAGCCGGUUUGGUAAAUCCCUUGUGAAAUUGUUCGGCUUAACCGAACAGCGUGCAGGGGACACUGCCAGACUCGAGACCGGGAGGGGUCAGAAGUAUUCCAUGGGGACCGGUAAAAUGGGAUAAUCCAUGGAGGACUACCGAUGGCGAAGGCAUCUGACCAGAACGGAUCUGACGGUGAGGAACGAAAGCCAGGGGAGCGAACCGG